rnacentral:rRNA from 1 species
UACGUAGGGGGCAAGCGUUAUCCGGAUUUACUGGGUGUAAAGGGUGCGUAGACGGUUUGGCAAGUCAGAAGUGAAAACCUAAGGCUCAACCAUAGGAUUGCUUUUGAAACUACUAGACUAGAGUGUCGGAGGGGUAAGUGGAAUUCCUAGUGUAGCGGUGAAAUGCGUAAAUAUUAGGAAGAACACCGGCGGCGAAGGCGGCUUACUGGACGAUAACUGACGUUGAGGCACGAAAGCGUGGGGAGCAAAC